rnacentral:rRNA from 1 species
AUUCCAGCUCCAAUAGCGUAUAUUAAAGUUGUUGCAGUUAAAAAGCUCGUAGUUGGAUUUCUGUCCUUUUUCCUCCCCCCCCUUUCUUUCUUUUUUUGGUCCCUUUCCUCCUUCUGUUAACCCUAGCGUCAUUCAUUUGUCGUUGGGCGGACCAGAUACUUUACCUUGAGAAAAUUAGAGUGUUUCAGGCAGGCCUAGCCGGAAUACAUUAGCAUGGAAUAAUGGAAUAGGACUAUAGUCUCGUCGUUGGUUACGUGGACUGCAGUAAUGAUUAAUAGGGAUAGUUGGGGGCAUUAGUAUUUAUUAGCUAGAGGUGGAAUUCUCUAAUUUGAUAAAGACUAACUUAUGCGAAAGCAUUUGCCAAGGAUGUUUUCAUUA